UUAGUACAUUUUCCAGACCUUUCAUUUUUUUUUUUUUAAUUCUCAGAAAAGUUUACAGAUACUAUAUGUAAAUGAUAUCCAGAUGUCUCUAAAGACGCAGUUGGGUUUUAUCUCUUUAUCGUUAAACUCCCAGUAAACAAUAUCACAUUGAUGCAUACAUGCUGAUAGGGGCUUAAAUGAUGGUUGGGAAGCCAUACCUGCCCUGUAUACUUGGGCACACCCUCUGUAUAUGCUUAUGAUAAUCCUCAUUUUGCAAUCUGUAAUUAAAAGUUGCUUGUUUUCGAUCUAAAUUUAAUUACACAAUACAAUCCACCUUGUUAUGUAUCGUAUUAGGAAACUUUUUAUUUUUUUCCCAUAAGGCAUUGAUCACUGAGAACAC